GGGUGGAUUAGCUCAGUGGUUAGAGCUUAGAGAUUGUGACUAUAAGGUCCUGGUUCGAAUCCCUCUCCAGGCA
rnacentral:tRNA from 1 species